rnacentral:lncRNA from 1 species
AUCCGGGGCUUGCCUUGGUUGCAGAGCUGAGAGGGACCCUCAGAGACUUCCCAAGUCUCGGAUCCUACUUCCUCGAACGGAGCACCGACCUCGGGGUUCGGUUCAACGGUCGCUCCUUCGAUCACGUGCACUAUACGCAAAAUGAUGGAUGCCCAUGAUAUGUGUAUGACAAAUAAUUGAGAAGGACCGAGCUGAGUACUACUGGCCCUCCUCGGUGCAACACAGAUUAAAUAAUAAUUAAAGCUGUUUAUCAUCUUAGUGCCUUUACCCAAGAGGUUGCCUCU